rnacentral:tRNA from 1 species
AGCUCCGAGGUGUACUAACAUAUUAGAUUGCAAAUCUAAAGAAGCAGGCUAGGCGCCUGCCGGGGCUU